GAUGAACGCUGGCGGCGUGCCUAAUACAUGCAAGUCGAGCGAACGGACGAGAAGAUUGCUUCUCUGAUGUUAGCGGCGGACGGGUGAGUAACACGUGGAUAACCUACCUAUAAGACUGGGAUAACUUCGGGAAACCGGAGCUAAUACCGGAUAAUAUUUUGAACCGCAUGGUUCAAAAGUGAAAGACGGUCUUGCUGUCACUUAUAGAUGGAUCCGCGCUGCAUUAGCUAGUUGGUAAGGUAACGGCUUACCAAGGCAACGAUGCAUAGCCGACCUGAGAGGGUGAUCGGCCACACUGGAACUGAGACACGGUCCAGACUCCUACGGGAGGCAGCAGUAGGGAAUCUUCCGCAAUGGGCGAAAGCCUGACGGAGCAACGCCGCGUGAGUGAUGAAGGUCUUCGGAUCGUAAAACUCUGUUAUUAGGGAAGAACAUAUGUGUAAGUAACUGUGCACAUCUUGACGGUACCUAAUCAGAAAGCCACGGCUAACUACGU
rnacentral:rRNA from 1 species